GCCGAUUGGGGCCGCAGGAGGCCGCCCCUCCCGUUUCUCGUAAUGAAGGGGUCGGGAGUUCGAGUCUCCCCGUCGGCU
rnacentral:tRNA from 1 species